rnacentral:rRNA from 1 species
GACGAACGCUGGCGGCGUGCUUAACACAUGCAAGUCGAACGAAGUGGCGAACGGGUGAGUAACGCGUAAUCAACCUGCCCUUCAGAGGGGGACAACAGUUGGAAACGACUGCUAAUCCCGCAUACUGAAGGAGGGGAUUGCGUCUGAUUAGCUAGUUGGAGGGGUAACGGCCCACCAAGGCGAUGAUCAGUAGCCGGUCUGAGAGGAUGAACGGGCACAUUGGGACUGAGACACGGCCCAGACUCCCACGGGAGGCAGCAGUGGGGAAUCUUCCGAAAUGGACGAAAGUCUGACGAAGCAACGCCGCGGGAGUGAUGACGGCCUUCGGGGUGUAAAGCUCUGUUAAGCGGGACGCGGUACCGGAAGAGAAAGCCACGGCUAACUACGUGCCAGCAGCCGCGGUAAUUC